rnacentral:lncRNA from 1 species
GUGAGGCUCGGGGUUCAAUCCUCAGCACCAAAUAUAAAUAAACAAAUAAAAUAAAGGUAUUGUGUCCACCUACAAGUAAAAACUAUUUCAAAUAUAUAUAUAAUUCAGAGACAGGGUCUUACUGAGUUGCUUAGGGCCUCACUAAAUUGCUGAGGCUGGCUUUGAACUUGAGGUCCUCCUGCCUCAGCCUCCUGAGCUGCUGUAAUCACGGGGAGGGGGUGCCACCCACUGCACCUGGUUAAGAGGGUAUUUUAAAUGUCUGUGGUCAAUUACUUUCUGGUUUUAUUUUUUAUUUUUAUUCUGUUUUGCCCAUUUAGACUGACUCCUCAUGAUAUUGAAUGUACCCAAAGUAAUUCUUUUAAGACUUACUGACACAGACUAUGUCUGGCUACCUGCUCAUUCGGGAACAGUGAGACCUGGAGAGAUGGUCUUUUUCCUUGAAAGGGAAGGUGCCAUCCCUGGUUCCAGGGNUCACUGAACAUGAAGUCUGUCCAGAGGCUGCUCUAGACCCAGGCAUAGAGGCUCUUCUAGAGCCUCCCAGGAGGGAGAUCACGAACUCAUGGCUAAGGGUCCUGAGGAGCCAGUCCUUUUUCUAUAGGCGAACAUGUCCUGGCAGACUGAGCAGGGCGCUGGGUCCCCCCAGCCAUGACAUCUCCUCAUGCAGUCCUUUUGAAAGCAUCUGGGGUUCUUCUGGUCAUCAACAUCUUCACCUAGUUUUUAACAAAUACCCACACACAAGUGUUCCUGUAAAAAGCCACUGCCCGGGGCCUGAGCUGCUUGUCCUCCUAGGUGACGUCACUGAACCUGGACCUGGGCCCCCUGCCGUGCUGCACGCCGAGCAUGCGUGCACCUCCACAUCAACUUUUGGUUUCCUCAGGAACCGAACCACCUUAGAUGGAUUAUAUCAAAUGCACACCAGCAUCGAUGCCAAGCCAAGCCACCUACCCCAACUCUGCAGAUCAUUCAUAAUCAUCAUUAUUCUGUUGUCUUUUCUCACAUUCAACUGCCAUCCACCACUAUGCAUCCAGCACAUUUUUAGAACCUCAAUAGAAGCAAUAUUGCAUAUAUCCUCUGAGCUAUUCUCUCCUAUGGUACAGGAGAAAUUAAAGCAAACCAGUACAAAAUCCCUGGAAACACAGAGUGGAUUGGAAAUAAGUGUCUCUUUAAGUGAAAGAGAACAUGACAACUGAUGGCUCCAAUCUGAGUGUGAGUCUUACUUUAUUCUGGAAGAAUUAUUAGAAAGAAAGGGACAUAUAUUUCUGUUGACACUGUGUAUUAAGUGGACUUUCUCAACCCUAUUUGUCUGUAUUAAAUAAAUAUGCUCGGUUUCCAACCAUGCCCUGUACUUCUUCUGGUUUUAAAUCAAAGGGAUUAAGACUCGUAAUUAAGACGCUGGAGGAAGGCCUGAUCAGUUUUGCCAGUGCAAAUUAGUUCAGAGGCCAGGAGCUGCUCCUUUCUGUUUGCUGGUAUGGGAGGUUUGUUUGAUUUAACAUGAUUGAGGAAAUGAAAUAUCCCUAAGACAAAGAACCAAUAUUGUACUUCUGGAAGGUGGCUGAAGGGAAAUUGGAAACUAAUGCACAUUAACAGCCGAUCCAAAAUGCACAGAAGGAGAAAUGCUAUUUAGAAAGAAAGUGAUGCGACUAGGGCUGGUCCUUGGCAAUCGAUUGCACCGUCUUCUCCCUUUGUUUAAUUUUUAAGGAACAUACAUGGACUAGAAUCUCAAGUUUCCACGUGAGGUCUGUGAGCUUGGGACCUUGUUCUGGUUUCGUAUGAAUUAUCUUGUUAAUAUUCACCCCAUUUCUGCUGGAUGGUUAUUCCGAGGACCCCUAUUUCGGAGGUAAGGAACCUACCAGUCCCAACACAGGGGCUGCCCUGAGGCCCAGUCUUCGGCAAGACGCUUGGUUACGGUUUCUUCUUUUUCUGUGGCUCCUCCUGUUAGUGAGGAAGAGGGGAAGAAGAUCCUGCUGCAGGACAGGACAGACCUGUCCGGGUUGUUUGGUUUGGUUUUAUCCCCGUUCAGUGGACCUGCGAGGGCUGUGCUGCAGUGAAAACCUGGGCAGGCCGCACAGAUGACCUGUGGGUCACCAGCGGCAUUGGGACAGCGGGCACAGCCUGAAACGCUUCCUCUCCUCACGUGGCGAGUGGGUCUUGGAUGCCAGAGCUUCUAUCAGCUUGUCCCUCUCGGCUGGGGGAACACGACCGGCACUUACUUAUUCAAUUCCUUAGAGGCACUUUUACAACUUUCAUGUUCAACAAAUCCAGC